AAAAUUGUCAAAAUUGAGAUGGAUAUGAUGGUGAAAUAGUAAAAGGUUUGAGCACGAAUUUUGUGACGGCAGAAAACGCUGCGAAAAAAAAAUCCGAAGAGGGCCCCAAGUCCUUGCUAAAGAUUUUGCACUGUGACUUUCGCAACCUCUUCGAAAUUGAAAUUGAAAACUGGGGUUUGAUCUGGUAUCAGCCUCAGUGGAUGGGUCGUAUGAAAAGGCGUGGGGUUACAUUCUAAUAUUGAAUGCCAGCCUAGACUGCUCCCAACAUUUUAAUAGUUGCUAGUACGCUAGUUGCUAUCUGCCGUCACGAAGUUCCUGCAUUGAUCAAAGAUCUUUCUGCUGAUCCAUCUAUGUGAAUGUGAUAUGAUUGUGGCGGAUUGCCGUUAUUUGUUUCGGUCUAGAUUUGAAGUUCGGAUUUUUUGUUGUGGUUGAAAAAUUGGGAAAAAGGUUUGGGAUUUAUGAGAAAAUGCUGUAGAACCCAAUUUUUUUCUUUGAAAUUUGAUGGUAUGGGGUCAAGCCAGUGUAUGUUUGAUUUGAUUGUAUGAGCUUUAACUUGUUGGUUGUAUGAUUGAAUCUGUAGGUUGUGUUUUCUUGUUUUCAGAUUGCAGGUAACUCUAGUGUUUCCGAUGGCAGUGUUGAUAUUGUGCAUUUAAAACAAAUCCUUUGUGUGUAUAAUCUUAUUGUAAGUGAAUGGUGCAUGGUUUUUAUGUGAUGGGUUGCCAAGUUUGUGCGGUUUUGGUCGUCUGGAUGCCCGCAUUUCCUUUCUAUGAGAGGUUUUAUGAUGUUUGGCAUUAAAUUUUGCCUCGAGUUGAUGAUUAUCUUGUUUUCAUCUUGGUCAAUUAGGGUAUCCCCUUGUUGAUGUGUUUAGCUAUUUAUUUUUCAUAUGCAUAGCUGCGCGUUCUCUACUGGUAGCAAGAGUCCAUUUAAUCACGUUAAUUUCCUUGUCUUCCAUUUUGAUUGUUGAAGAGUCUCUCUGCUGGAGUGUCUGUUUCUAGAGCUACCAAGAUUCUAUUGUCUCCUCCCCCACAGUUAAUCGCCUCUUUUUUCACCUUGAAGCCAUUGGCGACAUUCAGAUUUGAUUCCCAUAUCAAUUGUGCGCAAACACGUCACAUGAAAGUAUAGGCAUUACUGUUUGGUUCAACAUGGCCUUUACAUCGUGUUCUAAAGGUUGAUGUGAUUACUUGUUCAUUUGAGUGUUUGACCAUGUAUUUCGAGUUAACUCUGUGAAAAGUAUUGCGUGUUGUGCCUUGUUUAGGAGGCGGUCUAGCUGGGAUCAACCCGUACAUCUUCUGAAUCAGUUUAUGACUCAGGUAUUCAAGUUCUGGACAAGAAGAGAACACAAUAGUGUGAAAUGAAAUUUGAGCAAUGUCAGCCCUGGCAGCAUCCUUCGACAUGCUCUGAAUUGUGUAAAAUAGUAGAGAAAUGUCAGUUUUCCUGGGCUGCAGACGUUUGUACCUAGAGUGAUAUGUAGUGCUUAUUUAAGAAAAAAAGAGGCCACUGUUGUUUUUGAUAUCUGAAAUAUUCAAGAUAAUGACACUGCAUUUGCUUGUUCGUUUCUGAAGAUGACAAUGUAUCAGCGGGCGCGACCCACCCACACUAUCUCUCAUACAAAAAAUAAACGGAUGAGAUUGAAAAUAUAAGAUCUAACAUUUCUAGAAAUUAAAUCUAAUGGCUAAAACACGAGUCACUGAGUGCUACAUUGCAUUGAAGUUGGACUCCAAAUGUAGUAUAUCUAUCAUUUAUGAGUUUCAAAUGCGUAGGUUUCGAGCAAGUGAUUUGAAAAAAGAAAGGGUUUCCUAUGAGAAUUAUUAUCGGUACAAAAUUUUAUUGGACACUUCUGGUAAGUGUAUUUAUUUUCUUCUUUUACAUGUGGUAAGUUUAAAAUGCACAAUUAUACUUUUAGAGUGUCAAUAACAGUUAUCGUUCUGGUCUAGGAGUAUUUCUCUUCAUCUAGAAGUGAGAGGUCUUAGGUUCAAAUCUAGUGGAUGGCGAAUUCAAUACUAAAUUAGGUUGCUUAUUGUGUAGUUUAACCGAACUUUCUCUUCUCUUAGUGUAAAAAUAUAUCGAUGUAUUAAAAAAACAGUUACUGUUCUUAUUUGGGCCGUGUUUAUCAUGCCAAUUUUAACCUAUGCAUUCAUUUGAAUGAAAUUGAUUAAAUUAAUUUAAUUAGUUGAUUGUUUAUUUCAAGUAUAUAUUUUUAAUAAUUAAAAAAUAUUAAAAAAUUCAGAAAAAAAAAGAAGAAACUUUUCCACCUUAAAUAAAAAUGAGUGUUGAAUUAAUAGAGCUUCUAAAAUGGAAAAGUGACGCCGACCAUAUACGAGGGAUACACACUCACAAAAAGUUCACCAAAGAAUGAGUAUAUAGUUCCAAUCAGGAUCAUGAAUCAUCACUCCCACCUCUUUUGCUUUCAUGACUUUCUAGUUUGCUUGGAAAUAACUCACGUGUUAUAAUAUAAAUGAACGAUAAAUAGAGAGUAUAAUUUAAGACCAAAAGUCAUAAAUGGUUGCUUAUAAAGGCUUCCAUUUCGUCACAUUUAUCAUUGUGAUUUACUUCUUAUACCAAUUCGGUCUAUCGAUUGUUCAAUUUUCUUCAACUUGUCUAACUUGAUCCCCGCUUCACGUUUAGGGGUAUUAUAAUCUUAUCGUAUUCAAUUUCACUUAAUAGUUGGAAGAUGCAAGCUCAAGUUUUAGAACACGAUCUUUUGGGUAAGAUUAGGCACUUGCAACCAAGUUUUUUUCGAGUUUGUUUGGAGUGAAAUUCGCGUUCACUCCAAUUGGUCAAGUGAGAUUGUACACAACAAAAUGAUUAUACAUGGGCAAAACUUGUAUGCCAAGUUAAAUUAAUGUUACGAGUAAUGGCAUGUUUGGUUGCUUCUAUAAAAACACUUACCUUCAUAACCAUUUUUUUUCAGGAAGCACUUGAAUUUCUAAAUUCUAAGUUUUUAUACCGAACGCAGACAAAAAACAUUUUUAGACCUUCCAACAGUAAUCUCAAACAAUUCCUAUCGUGACAAUUUAAAUAAAGCACAUGUUAUAAUAUGAAUAGGUUUCAAGAUCGAGUUAAUAUUGAAAAUUUUUCAUUUGUUUGGCAUUCGAAAAAUCAAAAUAUUACAUAUAGGUGAAUCCGUGACAACACAUUUUUUAUCAAUCUCGUUUUCGGAUACUAUCGUCCAAUGAUGUGCGUAUUUUGGUGUGUGAAACACUAAGUAAUAAAGAAAUGGUUGACAAAAUCUUCUCAUAAAGAAGUUAUAAUUUAACUUAAGACGUGUUCUAUUUUUCUAAUUUUUCAAAAAAGUACAGAAAACAAAUCAAAUGACCGCCCCACUCAAAUUGUUUAGGUGGCCACUAGUUGACCUAACCAUAUAAUUUGGGUUUUAGUGUUGCAAACUGCAUCAUCUUUUCCACUGGGUUUCAAUAAUUUUCAAAUUAAAUAAAUAAAUAACGUACAAGGAAAUUCCAUAUCAUAUAUACAUAUAUAUAUAUAUAUAUAUAUAUAUAUAUAUAUAUAUAUAUAUAUAUAUAUAUAUCAGCCCCUUAACAGAAGGGAAUGGAAAUUAGUUGUGUGGUCCACACCAUAUUGAACUUCAAUGAUCUGAAUCGUCUAUUUUAUAAGUCUCGAUUUAUAGAUCGUUCUUACAAAAAUUUGAUUCAAUCCGAAACUAUUUGUCUAUUUAAUUGUUAUGAUGAUUUAACGUUUCUUAGAAAAAAGUGUUCGUCAAUUUCAUUUAACUCAAGUAGAUGUCUCAAAUAUUUCCGAUUUGGCUAAUAUUUUGCAAGGAUGAUAUGUGAGGUGCAACUUGGAAAAAUAGACAGUUUGAAUCGUUGAAGUUCGAUGUGGUGUGCGUUGCAGCACCAAUCCCUAAUUUUUUUUAAAUGAAAAUUCAUUUCCUUAAAGAUUAUAUAUAUAUAUAUAUAUAAAUAUAUAUUUCGCAUUUUAUGUUCUGUUUGUAUAAUAUAAUAGAGAUAAUUCUUCUUCACUUGUAAGUGAGAUAUUUUAGGUUUAAUUCUCGUUAAAUGCGAAUUUGAACAAAAUUACUGCUAACUCAUUGUGAGACUAAACCUACUUCCUCACAUUUAGUAUAUAUAAUAUCGUUUGUUAAAAAUAAAAGGGAUCAAUGUCGUGGGAGAAGAGCAAGCAACUAAAAAAGUUUGAGAUGAAAAUAGUUUUAUACUCUUCAUUAUAUUAAUUUGUUAUUAAAUUAUCAUUUGAAAAAUAAUAUCUUAAGACGUAAGUGGUACUGAAAAAUGUUAGGCUUAUGCCAUUUAUGGUACAAUAGCUACGUCAUCGUCGACAACCGUAUGAGUAAGUGAUUUUUAAUUUAUGUUCAUUCGAUUAAAUAAAUCAAAAGAGAACAAAAAUAAAAAAAAUAAAAAAUAAAAAGUUUACAAAAGAGAAAAAGAAGCAUGCAAAAAUCACUAUAACUAUUUCUCUUGAAUAAUUAUAGUAUGGAUUGCAUAUUUCACUCUGUCUACUUCGGAUUGUUUUGAGCAAUCUAAGGUAAACACGAAUUUAUUCAAGCACCCUAGCUUGUUGAGAAUUUUUGUUAAUUAAACGGAUUUGACUAUACGUCUUUUUAUUGUAUCUUGCUUGAUGAUUAUUAAUAAAGUUUUUUCCCUCGUGCCAUGGAGGUUCUCUAAAAUCAAUUAUAAGUAUAUAUAGACUGAACAAAUUAGCUUGUCAAGAAAGAAAUACUAUACUAAUCUUUGUUAAACAUUGUUAAGAAAAAGAGGUCCAAAUCUUGUGGAAAAUGAUUAGUAGGUAUAACGAAAGUACACCAGGUGGUUCGUUUACAAAUUUUUUGGUAACAAAAAAUAAUGCUGGAAAAUCAUGAACCAUGCAAACAAUGAAGAUAAUUAGGCCAUCUUCAAUUGAAAGAGCUAAAUAUAGGCACAUUCUUUUUCGUUGAUUUGAGAAUGUAUUUAUGUCAAGUUUAAUCGAAUAAAUUUAUUAAUGUUAUUAAGUCUAAUAUCUUUUUUUUUUGUGGCUUUGAAGAAUGUUUUGGACAAUAAUUUUUUGUUAAUUUUGAUAAAUGUACCCAUGUUUAUAUAUAUAUAUAUAUAUAUAUAUAUAUAUAUAUAUAUAUAGACACACACAAAAAAUAUAUUGGAGAGUAAUAAUUUAAAUUUUAAUAUUUUUAAUCUCACAAAUUAUGGGUUUUAUUUAAAUCUCUUUAAUAUAAGCAACUACAUAUUUUAAUUUUUAAUUCAAAAAAAAAUAUAGUAACUUACAUAGAAAUACCAAGGUUCUAAAAAACGCUAAGUGAGGCCUAGGUGGACGCCUAUGCGGAUUUAAGUAAAUCAUAUAAAUAAGUGCCUAUUUAUACUUAAAUAGUACAUAAUUGUAUUAAGAAUCUGAGAUACAUAAAUUACAAAAUAAAAUGACAUAUAGAUUAAUUAAUUUAUAUAUAUAUAUAUAUAUAUUAUUGUUGACCCUAGAAACUACAAAGCCUACGUGGCGCGCAGGCCGAGUAAUUAAUGAGCUAACUACGUCCUUCGGUGAAUGCGGGGCGUGCCAACUCGUCGGCCGAGCUCGGCCGAGGAGUAAAUUUGUUGAUGUUGCGUUGGGUCGCGCUACUGACUUCUGCGUCUUGCGAUUGCGGCCGAGAAAGGAACACGUCUCGGCCUCUUGGGCUCUCGAACCUGAAGACAAGGUUACUAUUCUUACGAAGUUCAAUAUCAAAUUCGGCUUUCAAUGUGCCGAAUGUAAUAACUGUAACACCUCACUUCGCCGAGAAGGCUGAUGAGAUGACCUCGACCAAUAAGGAUUUAGAAAUCCUCCUCGACCGAGGCUUGGAUAGGUAAUCAAUCGUUCUCGCCGCAAUGCUGUUGAUGCCAACGGAAGGUACUGCGAGACCGACUGACUCUACGGUGAUAGAGCUAUUUAUGCCGACUUAAGAUAUCACCGGUUGCUUCCACAGUGCUGUUGAUGCCAACGGAAGAUGUGUCAGCGAAAAAGGAAAAAGAAAAAUCACAAGUUGUGAGAAUUUGCGCAGGGCAGUUUUGUAUUGAUUUGCAGGGGGCUUGUUAUGUUGCUAAAUGUCUUGUAUUUAUAGUAGCAGCACAUCGAGCCCGAGUUCCAAUCCUAUUCGGACUAGGUUUCCUUCUCCGGAUUAACAUCCCCUCGAUCAGUCCUAUCUCCGCUAGGACUACGAAUCUAGUCCUUAACUGAGCCGGAUUCGCUUUCUAGAUUAUUGAUCUCGUCGAGAGUCACUAUUGUACUAAGACUCGACUUGCGUUCUGAUUUAACCGACUUAGGCUUGGAAGCCCAUGAGCUGAACGCUCCAUGACCCUUUCGUCGCCCGGCUUCUCGGGCCGAGAGUGAUUCUACCCUCGGCCCAAACUAUUAUUUUGGGCCCAAACAAUUAUAAAAUAGGAGUAAAUAUGUAAAAUUUUAGGGUUCCUUAUCUUGGUUUUCUAACAUUUUUUCCCAAGUCUAUAUAUAUAUAUAUAUUUUUUUUUUUUUUUAAUUUAUUAUUAUUAUUUUUUUUUUUUUUAGGUGACAAGUCAAUAUGUUUUGAUCAUUGUUGGUCCUUAUUUUUCAUUCGAAAAAGGAUUAGGCUUUGUUUUCACAUUAAAUAAUGACAUAAUUAAUUCUCUAAUUCUAAAAGAAAUAUCAGUCACUUAAAACCCCUAACUCUAACCCUAGCAAACAAAUAACCUCACCGUCUCAUUCUUCUUAUUUGCAAAUUGAAAUUUUAUAGAGCUCUGUGCUGUCUCAUUAUUCUUCUAUGCAAAUUGCAAUUUUACGGAGCGAUCUCUAUCUCUCUUCAAAUUUUCUAUGCCGACUCAUCUUAUAGGCAAGCAGAGAAGGGACAGGACGCAUCGACGCGACAAAAACGCAACGAGAUGGUGGAGAUGCACUACUUUUUCAGUGACAACUUUUAAAAAAAAAAUUACAUAACCACCAGAGGCCACCAACGCCUAUUAGCCCUCCCAGGCAACCGUCUAGGUGUUGCCUAAUAGUCUAGCCAACUGAUUGAACGAUUUUGGUACAAUUACAGCAGUGGGCUAUUGUUGAGCACCUACGUCGAUUUUUAGAACAUUAAGAAAUACAUUAUUACAUUAAUGUUAGGGAUUUCGAUGAAAAACUGAAAACCAACAAGAUUUUAGUUAAAUAAUAUUGAUAGCUAGGGACCGUAUCCAAAGUCUCCCAAAAUUAACCAUGGUUAAAUAAAAGGACACUUGACAUAUGAUUAGGUGUAUGGUAAGCAUGCAUCAAAGUUUAGGGUUGUGAGCAAAAGUACUCCCUUGCUAUUUUUACCGUCUAUUUGUACCAUCUCUCUAAUAGAGAUGAGACCCACAUAUGUUGGUGGACCCUCCUCUAUCAGAGAGGUGACACUAAGGAUGGGCAAUGGUUAUGCGGGCGGGUAACCGCGGUUAAUUUACCCAUAACCGUUUAUGCUCAUACCCGCAUAACCGUUUACCCGUUGGGUAAUUGCCUAAACGGUUAUACCCAUACCCAUAACCAUUUAUAAACGGUUAACCAUACCCAUAACCGCAUACCCAUUUAACCGUAACCGUUUAAUACCCGUUUACCCAUUUAUCAUUUUUAACCCGUUUAUCUUUUUUUUUUUACCAUUACCCUUUUUUCACCUGUCUACAUGUUUUUUAACAACUUGAAAAUUAAAAAAAAAUUGUCAAAAUUUUUUUUUUUUUGACAAUUAAACACCGUUAUAGGUACAUUCAUCAUACAUUUCUAUAUUUUAAUUUUUUAAGUUCUUAUACCAUUCUAAUAAUUGAAAUAAUAGUUUACGGACAAUAUUUUUAACUGUUACCAAUGAAGGUAAAUAUAAUAUUUGCUAAGUAUUAUUAGGUUACAAAAAUUGUUUAGAAGAUAUUUCUGUCAAAACAUUUCUAUCAAUUUCACGGUUACCCACAAAGAAUUUAAAUUAAUUUGGCCAAUUCCUUGAUGAUGAGAAUCAUCAUUCCUGUAGUAGUGUUAUUGAGAGAAUGACCGAUGAAUUCUUUGCUAAUUUAUUGGGUGCUAAAUAUUAUUGGAUUGAGAACAUGGUUUGUGUUAAUUUUACAUAUAUAAAAUAAAUGGGUAAACGGUUAUCCAUUUAUAACCGUGGUUAAUACCCAUAACCGCCCAUUUAAAUUUCGCAGGUAAACGGUUAUACCCAUAAUUGUUUAUUUAUCUAAACGGUUACCCAUAACCGUAACCGUUUAAUUUAAAUGGACGGGUAACCGUGGUUACCCAUAACCAAUAGGUAUUUGCCCAUCCCUAGGUGACACAAAUAAUAGUACAAAUAUGUGACAAGGGUAACAUUACUCAUAAUACAAUACCUUAAAAUGCUAGGAACCGUAUCCAAAGUCUCCCAAAAUUAACCAUGGUUAAAUAAAAGGACACUUGACAUAUGAUUAGGUGUAUAGUAAGCAUACAUCAAAGUUUAGGGUUGUGAGCAAAAGUACUCCCUUGCUAUUUUUACCAUCUAUUUGUACCAUCUCUCUAAUAGAGAUGAGACCCAGAUAUGUUGGUGGACCCUCCUCUAUCAGAGCAAGUCCACCCCUAGGGACUUUGCGCCAGCACCCAGCGCAUUUAUCCACUUAAGUGAACAGUAAUAGGCCAAGGCAUCUCCACCCCUAAAAAAAUGCGCUGGCACCCAGCACAUUUAUUUGGUGUGUUUUUUUUUUUUAAGUUUAUUUCGGAUAAGAUUUUUAACCAAUUUCAGAUAAAAUUUCAAAUAAACUUAAAAAAAAUACACACUAAAAUAAAAUUACAUACCCAUCAAAUAAACUUAAAAAAAACACACUAAAAUAAAAUUACAUAAACUCAUCAAAUAAACUAUAAAAAAAAACACACUAAUAUGAAAUUACAUAAACUCAUCAAAUACACUUUAUUCUUCAACCACAAGCUUUUUGGUAUUUUUUUUCACACAAAAAGUAUAUGAAAGCUUUGGUAGAAAGUGUAGAAAAUAUUGAAAUGUGGUGUAAGGUGGAAGAUGAGAGUUAGGUAUUUAUAGAAAAAUAAAUAAAUUUUUUUUAAAAUUUUCUGUAUUUUUUAAUAUUUUUUAAUUUAGUUAAUUAACGUGGACCGUUGAUCUGUGAUCGGACGGUCUAUUUUAAAAGUAAAAUUUUAAUUUUUUUUACCGUUCGAAAUCCAACGGCUAUGAGCAUGCCACGUCGUUGAUGGGAUUCGGAGCACAAGUGGGCUGACAGCCCCUCUGCAGCCUGUCGGCUACUCGCGCCCAGGCGCGCUUGUCGUGCAUGCGCCAGCCAAAUAGGCCGGCUUCUUGGUCUGUCAAAAUUGGGCUGGCCUGUUGCCUGGCAUGGGCUGGGUGCCAGGCAACUUUGUGGGCUGGAGCAAAUUCACUGAGGGCUGGCUUGUUUUUUGGACUGAGGGCUAGGACAUUUUGUUCCCGGUGGACUUGCUCUCAGAGAGGUGACACAAAUAAUAGUACAAAUAUAUGACAAGGGUAACAUUACUCAUAAUACAAUACCUUAAAAUGCACAUGACAUGUGCCACUUAGUACUACGUUCUAGUGGUAUUCCUCUUCACUUGUAAGUGAAAGGUCUUAGGUUCAAUUCUCGCUAGAGACAAAUUUGAACCAUAUUAUUACUAGCAUAUUAUCAGGCUUAACCCACUUCCACAGACCCAAUGAGAUUUCAUUAGUCUUUCCGGCCAACUGAAAUCAACUCAACUCCCCCCAAUUAAUUAUUAUUAACAACCAUCAAUACAAACCCAAACACAAUACAAUCGAACUGACUUAAUUUAAUUCAAUACGGGGACUUAAUUGUGAAUUUUUUUAGUGUAGCUAUCACAUUAUACGUAAUGUUAUCACUCUACUAAUGUUAUGAUAUGUGUGUUUAAUUAUUAUAUUAUAACCAAUUAGUAUUAUGAUUUAGUGGUAUUCCUCUUUGCUAGUAAGUCGGAGAUCUCAGGUUCGAUUCUUUGCCAAAGGCAAAUUUGAACCACAUUAUUACUAGCCCAUUGUGAGGCCUAACCCACUCCCCACCCUCUUAGUAUAGAUAUAUCAUUCGUUAAAAAAAAUUAUAUUAUAGCCUAACUCCCUAAAAUAUUGGCCGUGUUGUUCAAUAAUUUUACAUACCAUGUCAAUUAACAACACUAUGUGACAGUGCAAUUGUAAUACUCAAAGAAAAUAAAAUUUCAAAUUUGAGGAUCCAAACAAUUUGAAGGUCUAGUCCAAGUUAGAGCAUCCCUAAUUGAGCUUUAUCCUCCUUGAGGCUACCAUAUUUGUAGCUCUAAUGAAAAUUUUCAUCUCCAAUGGGCUGGAAAAUGAAGCUACAUCUACCACCUGGGCUAGCAACUUCAAUCAUUGGGUAACAAAGAGUUAGGCUACAUCUAGCCUAAAAAACGUAAGGGAAACCCACACCAGAUUGAGGGCCCAAUCUUCUCUUUUUUUUUUAAUUUUUUUUUAAGAAAUGGGUGAGCCCCAUUUUUAAUUCCAAAACAUGAUUUUAAGGGUUUAUUUUCCAACCGUUUAGGAUUUUAAAGAUUUUUUUUAACCGUUUGUUUGAUUAAGAAAACAUAUACAAACAACGAUUAUUUUUUGUGUGAUUGAUUAGAAAAAAAUGUUGUACUUUGUGUUUAAUUUUCAAAAAUUGAAAAAUUCAUAAAAAAAUGAUGAAAUUUAAUUGGUAGUAUUUAGAGACCUAAACCAAAAAUAUAAACAAAUAACAUAACUAAAUUGUGCUAAGAUAAUCCAAUCCAAUGGUUGUUAUGAAAUGAAAAUCUUGUUUGAUUUUGGAGAAUGUGUCAAUCUGAGAGAAAAACCAACGGAUGAGAUUGAGAUAAGAUAAACACAUCCAAUGGUUGUUAUGAAAUGAAAUCCUAUCUUGUCUGAUUUCAUAGAAACAAACCAAUGAAUGAGAUUGAGAUAAGAGAGCCUCCAACAAUGCAUAAAUGAUAAAAUCUAACUUUGUCAGAAUUUGAAUAUUUUAAGGUUAAAAAUUUCAUAAAUUAAAAUUUAAGAUAACACUCCAAAAAUCAAGUUAAGAAAAGUUAAGACAAAAAUAAAUUUACUGCGCAAUCAAAUUACUACAAAAUAAAAUAUAUAACCUCAUAUAAAGCCCGAAAGAUAUAAAGCCCCUUAUGAGAGAAAUUCUUUUUUUUAGAGCCCAAAAGAUUCCUCGGAGGUCUAAAUUGGGAUAUAUCCAUCGCUUUCUAGCCCCAUAUAUAGCCCUUCAUUGGGAUGCUCUUACAAACCAAAACAUGAUUAUCAGGGAUCGCGUUGCUCAAUCAUUUUAUAUACCAUGUCAAUUAACAACACUAUAUGACGGUGCAACUGUAAUACCCAAAGAAAAUAAAAUUUCAAAUUUGAGGAUCCAAACAAUUUGAAGGUCUAGUCCAAGUUACAAACCAAAACAUGAUUCUCAAGGACAAUAGUGGUGGAGUGGAGUGGUGGCUUACCAAUGUUUAAGAUACGGUUGAUAUUUCCAUAGAAAUAUCCAAAAAAAUUAGGGAGAGAUAUGGAAAUGGGUGAUGAAGUCUAAACUUCACCUCAUAUCGAAGAAAUUCUUAAGUUUAUACUAAAAUCGAGAUAUAUCGUCGAUAUUUUUAACACAUUUGUUAAAUAUUGGAGAAACUCUUAUAUUUCAUACAAACCAAUGUUUGAUAGUCCCUAAAUUUUCAUAUUAAAUUUCCAUCAUUUCCAUCGAAAGUAACAGAUGUCGAUAUCAAUAUUUUCACAAAUUUGCAUAUCGAUAUUUCCAUUUAUACUGAUAUUUUAAACAUUAUGGCUUAUCCAUCCGCAUGGUAUAUGAAUUAUGGAAAACUCAUAUGACACCGAUGCUGAGAAACCUUACCAUUUGAAAUCCAAUCAAAGGAUUACUGAAAAUGUAGAAACAUUAUAUGGACCUAAAACUAGUACUGUUUGGUCACCAUGCAAGAUCAAAUUACUGUGUUGCUCAUGCAUGAAUUUAUAGGCUAUCACCAACAAAAUGCCGAGACAUUCAUUCAUAUAUGUCUGGUUGUAUUGUAUGUGAACUAUUUUGGCACUUUUUCUUUAACCUAGAGACGUAUACAUGAUUGAUCCUUUUUUUUUUUUUUUAUAAUAUAAUUUCAUUACUUUUUUGGCUCCACUUUUUCGGGGUCUAGAAUACUCACAGAGGCAUUUCAGCUUCUCCUGUCCAUUAUUGUGUGAUUCACCAGCACUAGAAAUCGAACCUAGGAUAUGUCGUGUGGAAUAUGAGCCUGUAAUUCGUCCCCAACCACUGAGCCACCUCGCGGUGAUUUUUCCCUCGAACAUUCUUAGGGUUGGUUUUAUAGUACCAUUUUUCACAGAAAAUUUUCUUGUUGUUAUAAAUAGAACGGAAUAAAAAUGUAUUUUUUCUUUUAAUACUAUUUUCAUGUAUAUUUUUUUCAUUUUCUUCCCACCAUUGUUCAUAUAUUUUUUUUCUCCCAUCAUAUUUACUCUCUAUUAUCAAUAAAAAGGUGAAAACUAUGAACUCAAAACGAAAUCGCUAUCAGACGACAUUUCCACUUAUAAUUUUAUAAUACAAGCAAUAACAAAAGAGAGAAAACUGAACAUGAGAAAUAUCGACAAAAAAAAAAGAACAUGAGAAAAAUAUCAAGAGAGGGGAAAUCAAACACAAAAUAUCUACUGUUAAGAAAAAUACUGUUACCCACUGGAACUACAACUCCAUGGGAGACAUAUUGUUAUUAUUUACUUCCUCAAAUCUGAACUUUUACUGAUUUAUUACGAUCAUUUUACCAAGAAAACCAUUCCGAUUUCAUUGUAAGUAAACAUGCUCUAUAAUUUUGUCAUUUACUUACAUGGCACCAACUCUGAGUGGACCCAUCAUGGCGCUGGGCCCCAACUUUUGCCCUAAACUACUAAGUGCAGCAUAAACAUCCAAAUAGUUGCCAACCCCUUCCCAUUAGAUAUAUACUUGUUAAAUAAUAUUAAUAAUAAUAAAAAUAAUAAUUUACACCUCAAUAAAUUUAAGUUAUUCAAAUUGAGAACUUUAACGAAAAGCUCAUGAUACUGUUCACUUUAAUGAAAAACCACAUUUUUAUACUAAAAAGUUAAUCAUGGUACUAUUCACUUUACCCUUUAUUUUGUCCUUAUCGUUAAAACUUAAAGUUUUCAAGCCAUUUUCAUUAGUUUUUCUAUUAAAAUUAGCUAGUUGAAUUAAAAAGAAAAUGAAAAUGCAUACCUGCUUGGAUGACGAGUUUAUAUAUAAUUAUUAUGGAAUAUAAAUGACUUAUUAUAUGUGUUUAACCAAAUUUUUACAUUUUAUAAUCAAACAUCAUCAUAUAAAAUGAAAGACAAAGCAAUUGUAGACUGCUUGUAAUCAAGUUAGCCAGACAAUGUAGCCUUCUGUAUUCAAGUUCGAAUUUUUUCCGUCUUAUUGUUUAAAUUAAUUAGAAUAUCAUUUUGUUAAAAAAGAAACACAAAAAAUGAAAAUACUUAUCCCACAAAACAAAUGGAUACAAAUUGAUAAUUGUUUCUGUACAAGCCAGAAAAACUGGCAUAAAAUGCCAAAUACAUUCUUCUGACUGUUAAAUCUCCGCCCUUCCUUCCUUAUCACACCAUCUCUCUCUAUAUCUUUUAUUUCUCCUUCUCUACCUUUUUUUUUCCUCCUUCAUUUCCCCAUUAUCUUCCACUGUGUUCUUCUUCCUCUCCUCGUUAUCCAAAACUCUCGAGCUCCAAACUUUGAGAGAGAAACUGAUAUAGAGAGAGAAAGAAAGAGCAAGCUUUCCUCCAUAUCUUCUUCUUCUUCUUCUUCUUCUGCAUAAUUAUUAUCUUAAUUAUGGCUUUCUACAUGCAUGGCUAUUAAUUGGUGCAGUAAGCUCCUUGUUUUCAACACUUAGAAAAACAAAGUCUUCCACUUUCUUUUCAAAUACUCGGUAAAUGUUCGAAGUCCUACAAACGUUCAAAGUUUUCAGUGUUUUCUUUAAUUAUAUAUUUUCACUUAAUAUUCAAUUUAGCUAUAUAUUUUUGUGCUAACUUUAUGAGUUUAUGGAUUAGUGGAUAAUUAAUUUGUGGUUAGUAUUGCCUUAUGCUUUAAACCUUAUCCUAGUUUUUUCCAAUCUUAUUAACACUGGUUUAAUGAAUUAAUAUAUAUGUUUAGGAGAGUAAUUAAGUAAGUUCAAGUUUAAGCUCAUUCCUUCAAGAGCAAGCUGCAAAAAUGGCGCCCAGAAACAGCCGUGGAAAGGGAAAAGGAGACAAGAAGAAGAAAGAAGAAAAGGGUAUUUAUCAUUAUCUUAUAUUUCUUAUUCAAAUUGCUAAUUUUGGAUUACGUAAGUUAAGCACCGAUUAAGUUAACUAAUUAAUCAUUUGUCCGUUUUUUUUUGCUCUGCAGUUCUUCCUGUUGUUAUGGAUAUCACUGUGAACCUUCCUGAUGAAAGCAGUGUCGUUUUGAAGGUUGUUAGAUUAUAAUUUUUUAAUUUAAAAAAGCUAAAUUCCUAAGUGUUUCUGUCUGUCUUGUUACUUGUACUCUUUGGAAGACAUUGGUUAAGAGCAUAUGUUUAGUUCUUAACUUGUUCAGUGGUUGGAUUUGAAUAUGUACUAACUCCUAAACACUUUCACCUACUUUCCCAUGAUUAAAGUUAGUUUUUUAGGGCUAGAAUGUAAUGACAAAAGUUAUACUAUUUUGUAUGUAUUGACGUUGAAUCUACUAUAUUUACUGAUUACAUACUCUUUAUAAAGAUCGAUUUAUGCAUCAGAAUUUUAUAUAUGUAAAAUAACAGGAUAGUUUUGAACAGGGAAUAUCGACAGAUAAGAUUAUCGAUGUUCGUCAGCUGUUAUCAGUGAACACAGAAACUUGUAACAUUACGAACUUUUCACUAUCUCAUGAGGUAAUUUCCAUUACCCACAUUAUUUCUUUUUUCUUUUUAUCAUUAUUAUUUCAAAGUAUCGAUUUCCCCUUUUGGAUAAGUAUCAAAAAUGGGAUGUAGUUGAAGGAAUUCAAUCCCUUUGCAUUACCAAAUCAAAAGCCAUUACUGUCGUUGCUAAAGGAGAAUAAACGACAAUUGUGACAAAAAAAUAAAAAAAGGAGAAUAAACGACCAUAAUGUUAUUGUCGUUUAUGGCAGGUAAGAGGGCAACGAUUGAAGGACACGGUGGACGUCUCCGCACUGAAGCCGUGCGUUCUGGCGUUGGUCGAAGGUAAUAGUCAAAACGUAUUCCGACGUCGUUUUAUCUCCACUUUUUAUGAUCUUUAUGCCCCGUAGGAAUUGGACACUUGAGGGCCCAUUGGGCCAGAGUGUCCGAACGUCGUCGUAUUAUGCUUCUUCUUCCUCAGUCAAAUUUCUCACUCUCUGUGCUUCUCAGAGGACUACGAUGAACAGCGCGCCACGGCGCACGUUAGACGCGUGCUCGACAUUGUUGCCUGCACGACAAGCUUCGGAGCGUCGUCUUUGCCGGCGAAGGACCAAAGAUCGAAGCUCGAUGCUUCUUCAACUGGCUCCGGCAAAAAUGCUCCGGUUGCGCAGGAUAAGAUCUCCAAGAAAUCCAACGCCACGACCGCCGCCGCCGUCAACGCCUCCAAGUCUCAAGUUCCUACCGGAACCGAUAAGCGAGACGUGGCGGGGGACUCGGAGACCGAGAUGAGCCACUCCUGCCUCAAGCUUGGUUCUUUCUACGACUUCUUCUCUCUCUCCCACCUCACUCCCCCUUUGCAAUGUACUUUCUCUCCUCCCUCCCUCUCUACUACGUGUAUACGUAUGUACGUAUUUAUCUGUGUAUUUGGAAGCAGAAUUUUGAAUUUUUGAAAAAUUGAGUGUAAAUGCUUAUGAAUUUUGCAGUUAUUCGAAGGGCGGCGAAACGGCAAGUCGAUGAGAUUGCGGCGGAUGAUCACAUUUUUUCUCUAGAAGUAAGACCUUCGUCUGCACAAUCCACACGCACCCAAAGACAAUUUAUUUAUCUAUUUUUGGGUCUGAUCAUCGAAAUACAUUGUGUAUAUUGGCAAUUUUUCAGGUGAAGCUUUGCAAUGGGAAGGUGCUUCUUGUUGAAGCUUGCCGAAAGGGGUUUUAUAGCAUAGGGAAGCAGCGGGUUCUCUGUCACAACCUCGUCGAUUUGCUACGGCAGCUUAGUAGAGCCUUCGACAAUGUUAGUAAAGCAUUUGAGUUUCUGUAGUGAUUUGCAUUUAUUCUAUUUCUAACUUUUCAUUUGUGUAUUGAAUAUGUGUAUAUUUAAUUUCUCAUAUUUCAGGCUUAUGAUGAGCUCUUGAAAGCAUUUGCAGAACGGAAUAAGGUAUGGGAUCAUUCAUUAUGCUUUCUUUUAUGAGUCUUUGUGUUAUUAUUUCUGUAUUUUGUAAUUGAUUUUCUUUGAUAUUUUGCAGUUUGGGAACCUUCCUUAUGGGUUUAGAGCAAACACGUGGCUCGUACCCCCUGUUUCAGCGCAGUCACCAUCAGUUUUCCCUGCUCUCCCCGUGGAGGAUGAAACUUGGGGUGGAAAUGGUGGUGGUCUAGGAAGAGAUGGGAAAUUUGAUCUGAUCCCUUGGGCUAAUGAGUUUUGGCAUAUUGCAUCCAUGCCUUGCAAGACAGCCGAGGAGAGGCAGAUUCGUGAUAGGAAAGCAUUCCUUCUUCACAGCCUAUUCGUCGAUGUUUCCAUUUUUAGAGCCAUUAAGGCUGUGCAGCAUGUAAUGGGAAAACCGGAAUUGACUUGUUCAGUUCCAAACAGUGAGAUUCUUUACUCCAAGAGUGUAGGGGACUUGAAUGUCACAGUUAUGAAAGAUGUUUCUAAUGCAAGCUGUAAGGUAGAUACUAAAAUUGAUGGAAUUCAAGCAACUGGAGUGGACGAAGCGAAUCUAGCGCAACGAAACCUUCUGAAAGGGAUCACCGCAGAUGAAAAUACUGCUGCCCACGUAAGUUAUUUCUGAGAUAGUGUUGUUGAUCAAUAAUCUUUGUCUCUACCAAAUGCGAUUUAUUUUGUAACUUUGGUGCGGUUGAGGUCAUUCUUGCUAAAUAUUGUGUGCAGGAUGUCAACACUCUAGGUGUUGUCAAUGUCAGAUACUGUGGUUACAUUGCAGUUGUCAAGGUUGAGGGGAAAGAAAAUAAGAAAGUUGGUUCUCCAUCUCAGAGCAUUGAAUUUGUUGAUCAACCCGAAGGUGGUGCCAAUGCCCUUAAUAUCAACAGGUACGCAAUAAUGUGUCAGUAAGUAUUAUGUAAAGCUACCAACAUGGAGUUUUCAGUGUAAGAGCCCAAUAAUGUGUCAGUGAGUAUUAUGUAAAGCUACCAACCUUUUGUCAUGGAGUUUUGAGUAUAAGAGCCUAACUAGUAUCUUGUUUUUUGCAGUUUAAGAUUACUACUUCACAAGACAAUACCUUCAGAGCAGAAUAAACCGGCAUCACAUAUGCAAACUCUGGAACACGAAGAUCUUUCAGCCUCAUGUGUUUUUGUUGAGGGGGUGUUAGAAGAAAGUCUUGCUAAGCUUGAGAAAGAGGAGCUAGAUUCUGAUAAUUUUGUGAGAUGGGAACUUGGAGCUUGCUGGAUACAACACUUGCAAGACCAAAAAAAUGCAGACAAAGAUAAGAAACCGUCAAACGAGAAGGCUAAAAAUGAGUUGAAGGUUGAGGGACUUGGGACACCUCUUAAAUCUCUUAAGAACAGCAAGAAAAAAUCAGAUGGAGGCAAUACCAAGCUGCAAUCUGAAAGCUCAAAGUCUCAUGUAGAUGGUGUUGUUGCGGAAGUUGAAAAUAGUAUAUCCCCUUCUGUGGAAUCAAAGCUUGAGACUAAUGCCAAAGAAUGAGCUUGUGUUGACAGAGAUAUUGUCUGAUGCUGCCUUUGCUCGACUAAAAGAUUCAGAAACUGGACUUCACUGCAAGGUAAUACAUUAUAGGUGUCACUAGAGGCUUUAGAAUUUAUUUAUUUGUACUACACAUUGUGUACUAAUGUAUUGUGUGCUUGACAGUCUCUGCAAGAACUGAUCGACUUGUCUCAGAAGUAUUACUCUGAAGUUGCUCUUCCCAAACUGGUAAACAUUUUUUUUCUUAAAGCUUGUUAUCUUUUUGCAUGGAAGUAAUGUUUGGUGAUUCUUCUUUCUAUAAAAUAUUCGUAUAAUGCAGGUAGCAGAUUUUGGUUCCUUGGAACUUUCACCGGUUGAUGGUCGGACCUUGACUGAUUUCAUGCAUACUAGAGGUCUUCGGAUGCGCUCUCUGGGGAAUGUUGUAAGUGUGCUUCUAACUUAGGGUUUUCAUUUUUAAUACAUGUCUCAUAUUACUCAUCUACCUAAGAAUCAAUUUCUUUUGUGUCCUCAGUUUUGCUUGGUGUUUAUGUCCCUUCUGAACUUCAUUAACUAUACUCUGUAGUCAGAUUUGUGGUUGUAGUUUGUUUACGUGGCUUUGAUGUAAUAGAAGAAAUAAAAAAGAACAAAAAUCAUGGCAAUUUUCAGAAUAUCUCGAGCUAGCCCUCCCUUUAUUAUGCACUGGUGACCGUUAGACAGUGUUAACCAGUCACGUUAUUAUAAGGCAUCAAAGCUCUAAUCUUCUUUAAGCAUUUCACUAAUAGAAAACAUUAACUUGCAUUGCCUCUCAUCUCCAAACUGAAACUCAUAAGAAAAUUUUGAAAUGCUAUAUGUAGAUGAUAUGUGGAAUGCUGCUUAAAUAGGUUAUCAUAUUGAACGAAAUGACUUUUAUUUCUUUAUAGGUCAAGCUUUCGGAGAAGCUAUCCCAUGUGCAGUCCCUUUGCAUUCAUGAGAUGAUAGUGCGAGCUUUUAAGCACAUACUUCAGGCAGUGAUUGCUGCCGUUGGUAACACUGAGAAAAUGGCUGUUUCAAUUGCUGCUGCAUUAAAUCUUAUGCUGGGGGUUUCUGAUAAUGAAGAAUUAAAUAAGUCUUGCAAUGUUCAUUCUCUUGUGUGGAAAUGGCUGGAGGUAUUCUUGCGAAAGAGAUAUGGAUGGGAUAUUAACAGCUUCAACUAUGACGAUGUGAGGAGAUUUGCGAUUCUACGUGGAUUAUGUCACAAGGUAUAUAUCAUGACACCGCAUAUUAGAUUCUGGAGAUGGCCCACAUUCUUGAAUUCUGACUUCGUAAUUUUACACUGUAUUUUUAAGUUUACACUGACAUUUUGCUUUCUCUUCCCCCUAUCCCCCACCCCCCAAAUUUAGGUGGGUAUUGAGAUGGUUCCAAGGGAUUUUGAUGUGGAUUCUCCAAGUCCGUUCCAAAGUUCAGAUAUUGUCAGCCUAGUCCCAGUGCAUAAGGUGACGACUGGACAUAAAACAUUAGAAGCAUCUGUUUUCCUUUCUUUCGAUUUUUAGAAGGGAUAAGAGUGAUUGCCCAUCUUUAGUAAUUUAACCUUUUCUUUUACUUUUUUCAGCAAGCUGCUUGCUCUUCGGCAGAUGGUAGGCAACUCCUAGAAUCAUCAAAAACAGCUUUAGAUAAGGGAAAACUUGAAGAUGCAGUUGCAUUUGGCACUAAGGUACGCAGACUGGUGCUGGAAGGUUUUCUUUCACCUUUUUAUAUUAAUAUUCUAGUUGGUUACCGGCUGUACUUUGCCAUUUGCAGGCUCUUGCAAAGCUGGUAGCAGUUUGUGGUCCCUACCAUCGAAUGACAGCAGGAGCUUACAGCCUCCUUGCUGUAGUUUUAUAUCACACUGGAGACUUCAAUCAGGUCUGUUCCUAUCCCUUUUGUUUCAGUGUUUCUGGGACAUAUAUAACUGUUACUUUCUGGGUCAAACAGAUUUUAAAUUGGGGGAUCGGCUACAUAUGGUUUCAUAUUUUUAUUGUUGAAGGUGGAACGGAAUGUGCAGAAGUGUGCAAAAUAUAGAAAGUUUGUCUUUCAUUUUGUAAAGGUUUUAUGUCGUGGAUGACCAAUGAUGUGUUCCCAUUACAGGCUACAAUUUAUCAGCAAAAGGCCCUGGAUAUCAACGAGAGAGAAUUAGGGCUUGACCAUCCAGACACCAUGAAGAGUUAUGGGGAUCUUGCUGUGUUCUAUUACAGACUUCAACAUACGGAGCUGGCUCUCAAGUAUGCUUUUUUCUUGUUCAAAAGUGAUCCCGAUGUAUAUAACAUCACAGUUUAUGUGUUUAGGGGAAUAAUUUUCAAAGUGAUGAUGUGAAUGGGUUGCUCUCUCGAUCUUGUGGAUGCAAGCUGCUUGCCAUUUUUGUUUCACAGAUCGAACCUAUGGGGCUAGUUAUGGGGGCAGAUAACCUGCUGUCCCUUUUCUUGUUCAUCGUUGAUGUAUUUCCAUUUAAAGGCAUAGAAACAGGGUGAUAAAUUAGUCAUGAGUCAUAGCUGCAUGCUGCAUAGUCUGUUCAUUCAUUAGUAUACGCGUUAUUUUUUACAUUCCUCACAAGUACAAGCUCAC
rnacentral:lncRNA from 1 species